ACGAACGCUGGCGGCAUGCCUCACACAUGCAAGUCGAACGAUUGCCUUCGGGUGAUAGUGGCGCACGGGUGCGUAACGCGUGGGAAUCUGCCCUUAGGUUCGGAAUAACAGCUGGAAACGGCUGCUAAUACCGGAUGAUAUCGCGAGAUCAAAGAUUUAUCGCCUGAGGAUGAGCCCGCGUUGGAUUAGGUAGUUGGUGGGGUAAAGGCCUACCAAGCCGACGAUCCAUAGCUGGUCUGAGAGGAUGAUCAGCCACACUGGGACUGAGACACGGCCCAGACUCCUACGGGAGGCAGCAGUGGGGAAUAUUGGACAAUGGGCGCAAGCCUGAUCCAGCAAUGCCGCGUGAGUGAUGAAGGCCCUAGGGUUGUAAAGCUCUUUUACCCGGGAAGAUAAUGACUGUACCGGGAGAAUAAGCCCCGGCUAACUCCGUG
rnacentral:rRNA from 1 species